AUGGUGUCACUUGCUAUGGUCAUACUUGGCUUAUCUCUCUGGAAAAGAAAACACAAGUGCAAAUCUAUCUCUCUGCCAUCAUUUGCUGCAAAAUUUCCCAAAGUUUCUUUCAAUGAUCUAGCCAGAGCAACACAGGGAUUCUCAACAUCCAACUUAAUUGGCAGAGGGAGAUACAGUUCUGUAUACCAAGGAAAACUAGUGGAGGCCAAAAAUGAGGUGGCAGUAAAAGUCUUCAACCUAGAGACAAGAGGAGCGCAAAAGAGCUUCAUUGCAGAAUGUAAUGCACUGAGAAAUGUGCGGCACCGUAAUCUGGUCCCUAUCCUAACUGCGUGCUCGAGCAUUGAUUCUAAUGAUAAUGAUUUCAAGGCCCUAGUGUAUGAGCUCAUGCCACAAGGAGACUUACAUAAACUACUAUACUCAACUCAAGACCGUGAAAGCUCUUCAGAUUUGAAAUUUAUUACAUUGGCUCAAAGGAUAAGCAUUGUGGUGGAUGUAGCGGAUGCAAUGGCGUACCUCCACCACAACAACCAAGGAACAAUUAUUCAUUGUGAUCUAAAGCCUAGCAACAUUCUUUUGGAUGACAAUAUGACAGCUCAUGUCGGAGACUUUGGCCUGGCAAGAUUCAAAGCUAGUUCCACAACGCCGUCUCUUGGUAACUCAAGCUCUUCUCUCGGUGCACUGAUGGGAACUAUCGGAUACGCUGCUCCAGAAUAUGCAGGGGGCGGUCAACUUUCAACUGCCGCAGAUGUUUACAGCUUCGGUGUCGUUCUCCUCGAGAUAUUCAUUCGGAGAAGGCCAACCGGCGACAUGUUUAAGGAUGGGCUGAGCAUUGUGAAGCUUACAGGGAUCAGCUUCCCUGGUAGGGUAUUGGAGAUUGUCGAUCCCGAGCUACUACAGGAGUUGGAGCCUUGCCAAGAAACUCCAGUGGCCAUGAAGGAAGAUGGUAUGCACACUUUGCUAUCUAUGCUAAACGCUGGCCUUUGCUGCACCAAGGAAACUCCGGGUGAACGAAUCAACAUGCAGGAGGUUGCUGCCAAGUUACGUCGAAUCAGGGAUGAUUAUCUCAGAAGCUGUUCUGUUGCUUCAGUAGUAUUAGCUACUUAA
rnacentral:rRNA from 1 species